UACGUAGGGCACAAGCGUUAUCCGGAAUUAUUGGGCGUAAAGAGCUCGUAGGCGGUUUGUCGCGUCUGCCGUGAAAGUCCGGGGCUCAACUCCGGAUCUGCGGUGGGUACGGGCAGACUAGAGUGAUGUAGGGGAGACUGGAAUUCCUGGUGUAGCGGUGAAAUGCGCAGGUAUCAGGAGGAACACCGAUGGCGAAGGCAGCUCGCUGGGACGUUACUGACACUAAGGCGCGAAAGCGUGGGGAGCGAACAGG
rnacentral:rRNA from 1 species